CUCGUUCUGGAACUAUCUCGUUCCAUUUAGUAAUAGGAUGGAUCAGUUCCAGGUUUUGGAGAUCGAUUUCUGGAUAACUCAAUCCACGUAAGCGAUGACGUUUACAAAGCUUUACUGAUAAGAACGAAUCUCAAUACAGUCAAGAAAAUUGAUGACUCUGCAUGCAAUGCACGAUGACAAGUGUAUCACAUGCUUCAUUAUAAAUAAGUGUGUUUCUUCUUCUUUCCCUCAUUGUUCAAUCCUAAGAAUUCUCUCUACAAGUUGUUUUUAUCAGGGUCCGAUCCAUCUCCUGCAAAGGAGUUCGUAAACAUCUGAUAUCUACAAUCACUAGUUUGUGAAAAAAGUUCCAGUGACCUUGAAGAAGCUUACUUUCCAAAUAUUUCUCUAUUUCCUCACUAGAAUUGCUUCUAGUACUGCAGGUUCCAAAAGGAGAGAAGAAAAUGGAGUCCCACAAGAGAAGCAACAAAAAUGCAUCGGUAUCAAACAGAAUUGAAUGAGAAUAUAUGGAGAUCAAUCUCAUACUUGAUUCUACAAUUUCUUGUUCCUACCCUUGUACCAAGAUAUUUAAACCCUUAGAAUCUCUUAUUAAAUCAACACCCUUGGCACUAUUUUGUCAUUUCACCCCUUGAAUAGCAGACGUUGAUUUCCUUUCCCUCUUUUUUAACAUCACUCAUUCUCUCUCUUUGCUGUCAACCAUAUUCUCUCACGGGCAACUUCCGUUACAAUUAUAUAGCGUACGCUAGCGUCUCCCUGUGUUUCUCUCCUUUCUCCAACUACUAUCCAACCAGACCAUGAUCAAACCAGCCACCCUCGUGAACUUGUGCUGGAAAACCCAGAGGUGAUGGAUUUCAUAAUAAAGAUGGUGAUGAGAGCAUGAGAGGAGAACAUCCCAGAACUAACCAAAACCUCCGCCCUCUCUCAGAUCACCUCUGGAUCUGCUCGUUCUGUUCACCUCGAAAGGCCGAGGUUCGAAGAAGCCAGGCCAAAUCUGGAAACGGGUAGUUCAGCGUCUCAAUCCAUCUCCGGAGAUCAUCGGCUUCUAGAGAAUCAAGAAGUUGAAGGAAACCAGAUCUUCCAAUUUGGGAUGUUUCCGGUGAACCCUUUGGGAAUCGAACAUUCCGGCGGGAUCGAUGCUGUAGGGCCUAGUACUAUUGGGGCUUAUUUUGGGGAUACUGGAGUGGGGACUUCAUCAGGAGCUGUUUCGCACAUCAUCAUCGAGAUUGAAACUCCAGCAACAGCUCAUCUGAUGGCCUUCUUCAAUAACGAAGGCAGCGAGGAGUAAGAGAAGGAUAGCAAGGAGAAUGGGUUCUUCGAGCUCUUUCUCUUCUUGCCGAAUCACUCUUAUCAUUGCCGAUUCUCCAACACCGAGUCUUCCCUAGAGAUAUCGAUACCAUCCUCUACAACCGUCUCAAUCUCGGCACGUUCAUCGCCGUCCCCUACAGUGGUGGUUCCAUUGAGGCAUGGCCCGAUGUGGACCAUUUCCUCUCAUACCCACCUGAGUCUUGGGCUGUGCUCAGCAUUUGGAACAGCAAGGAAGUGUUCUCCAUUCAGGUCAGGGGGGGUUUCCAAGCCACGCGAGGGCUAGCGAAGAUGAGCCAGAUCGUGGAUAAGGCUUUCCUUUUACCAUCGAUGCCAGAGCUGUUCAUGCCAUUUGAGUUUCAUUUCUUGUAUGCUUAUUUUAUUUUAUAUGUAGUUAUCCCAUCCAUACAUGAGGAAGGUGAUGUUUUGAAAAAUCUGUUAGGCAAA